GCAUUCCAGGUUCAAUUUAGUUACAGAAAUAUUUACUGAGGCCCUGCUAAGGGCAAGGCACUGAUCAUGUGUCUUUGGUUGAAUUGGGGGUGACAGUGGGGUGGUAAAUGGAAGCAGCACAAUGUGGUACUCAGUGCAUUAGCAGGAGAAUGAACAAAGCGUUUUGGGAGGACAGGGGUUGAAAUGACUACACAGACAAGGUGACAGGAGUGAGGGCCUUGAUCUGUGAAGGCAGGAGGAAAGGAGGACAAAUUAUGAAGGGCUUUGGAUGCCAAACUAAAGACGUGAUUCUUUAGGCAAGAGUGAGCCAACAAAUGGAUCUUUAAACAUUUUAAUUUUUCUUUAAGUUUGGCAUGCGCAUAUGUUAAGGAGUCAAAUAGUUCUGCAAGAUUUAUUACAAAAAACCCAAGAGGGCUCAGCCCUCCCUGUCGCCCAGGCUGGAGUGCAGUGGCACGAUUUAGGCUCACUGCAAGCUCCGCCUCCUGGGUUCACGCCAUUCUCCUGCCUCAGCCUCCCGAGUAGCUGGGGCUACAGGCGCCCACCACCACGCCCGGCUAAUUUUUUGUAUUUUUAGUAGAGACGGGUUUCACCAUGUUAGCCAGGAUGGUUUCAGUCUCCUGACCUCAUGAUCUGCCCGCCUCGGCCUCCCAAAUUGCUGGGAUUACAGGCGUGAGCCACCGCACCCGGCCAAUUAAAUCUUUGAUACAGAGUGCAUCCUGGUGUA
rnacentral:lncRNA from 1 species